CGGUCAAAUAAUGAGCAGGAAAAGAGAAAAAAAAAAAAAAAAAACAAUAAUCCGGAAAUGAGAGAGCCUUGACAGAUUGAAGAAGGGUUACAGAGAGGAGGUGAGGUCAGCGCCGGCCAUGGAAUCCAAUACCGGCAUCUUGAUUUUCGGUGUCCUUACAAGUGAGGAAGCUUCGUCGAGGGAAAUUUCCCCUCGGAAAAUCGCGGGUAUAGAGAGAAAGAAGAGGACACGAAGCUUCUAAACCCUUUUACGGCUAUUUCCAGCGCCCACUAGAAUCCUGAAGCUCCGGAACCACUAUCAGACCGUCUGUGCAGCGUCUGAGUCGCCGGAGUAGGAGUUUGAUUUUUGGAGACUGAAAUUUUGAGCCUUCGAUUCGGUUGAUUGGGCGUCUUUUUGGGCGCGCGUCUGGCAUAGGAGUGACCAGCAGAGCAUUUUAAGGUCUGUGGUGUGAACUUCUACACCGUACGCCGCCUUCAGUGGAAGCGCGUGGUGCUGACGCGCCGGCGAUAUUUCAGCGACAAUUUCGUCCUGCAGAUUGUUUUUACCUCCUUUUCAGCUUUCUUGAGUCCUUUGAGUUUAGUUCCAUUUGUUUUGUGAAGGGAAUGUUGAAAUAAAAAUCUCGUUGAAUUUGCUAUUGGUUUGGAGAUAAUGGUUCGUGGAAGAGAUGCAUGCUGGGAACACUGUGUUCUCGUGGAUGCAACAAGACAGAAGGUGAGAUGUAACUAUUGUCAUAGGGAAUUCAGUGGAGGUGUUUAUCGCAUGAAGUUUCAUUUGGCACAAAUAAAAAACAAAGAUAUAGUCCCCUGUGGAGAAGUUCCAGAUGAUGUGCGGGAUCAUAUUCAAAGUAUACUAAGCACUCCUAAGAAACAAAAAACUCCCAAGAAACAGAAGGUGGACCGAGCCACCAAUGGUCAACAAAAUAGCUCUUCUGCUAGUGGUGGCCUUCAUCCUAACCAUGGCUCCAGUGGCCAACAUGGUAGUACCUGCCCCUCUUUGUUAUUUCCACGCCCUUCGCCUAGUGCACAGCCAGCAAUGAUAGUGGACGAUGCUGAAAAGCAAAAACAGGAUAAUGCAGAUAAAAAAAUUGCUCUGUUUUUCUUGCAUAACUCUAUUGCUUUUAGUGCUGCAAAAUCUAUGUAUUAUCAAGAGAUGUUUGAUGCUGUAGCUGAGUGUGGGGUGGGUUACAAAGCUCCAAGUUAUGAAAAGCUGAGAUCCACGCUAUUGGAAAAAGUGAAAGGUGAUGUACAUGAUUGGUACAAGAAAUAUAGAGAUGAGUGGAAAGAAACAGGUUGCACAAUCUUGUGUGACAGCUGGUCUGAUGGAAGAACCAAGUCAGUUAUUGUAAUUUCAGUUGCAUGCCCCAAAGGGACACUAUAUCUGAAAUCAGUUGAUAUAUCAGGUCAUGCAGAUGAUGCUAAUUACUUGUUUGAGUUGCUUGAGUCAGUUGUCUUGGAAGUUGGUGCAGAAAAUGUUGUACAAGUAAUAACGGAUAAUGCUGCCAGUUACAUAUAUGCAGGGAGGCUUCUCAUGGCCAAGUACAGCUCCUUGUUUUGGUCGCCUUGUGCUUCUUACUGUAUCAAUAAGAUGCUGGAGGAUAUUGGUAAACUGGAGUGGGUGAGAACAGUCUUGGAAGAGGCAAAAACCAUCACUGGCUACAUAUAUAAUAACAUAUGGACCUUAAAUAUGAUGAGAAAGUUCACAGGUGGAAUGGAACUGAUCAGGCCUAGAAUCACUAGAUAUGUAAGUAAUUAUCUUUCCUUGAGGUCCAUUGUUAUCCAGGAGGACAAUUUAAAGCAUAUGUUCUCUCAUUCAGAGUGGUUAUCAUCCAUCCAUAGCAGACGUCCAGAUGCUCAAGUCAUUAAAUCUUUGUUGUUUCAAGAUCGCUUUUGGAAGUUUGCACAUGAAGCUGUUAGUGUCUCUGAACCACUUAUUAAAAUUUUAAGGAUGGUUGAUGGAGACAUGCCUGCUAUGGGAUAUAUUUAUGAAGGAAUGGAGAGGGGGAAAAUUGCAAUCAAGACAUAUUAUAAGGGCGUUGAAGAAAAAUAUAUGCCAAUUUGGGAUAUAAUCGAUCAAAGAUGGAAUAUACAGCUCCACUCAUCUUUGCAUGCUGCAGCAGCAUUCCUUAACCCGUCAAUUUUCUACAACCCAACUUUUAAAAUUGAUUUACACAUGAGGAAUGGGUUUCAAGAAGCUAUGAUCAAGAUGGCUACUUCAGAUAAAGAUAAAAUAGAAAUCACCAAAGAGCAUCCAGUGUUCAUAAAUGCUCAAGGUGCUCUUGGUACUGAUUUUGCAAUCAUGGGCAGGACACUGAAUUCUCCAGGUACGCGUGAGUUGUGGUGGUUAUUAUUAUACAUGAAUGGUCGUCUUAACAUGGUUUCUAAGGUGCUUGCUGGCCUUAGAGUGUAUAUUCUCCUUAUAUGUGCCAGCUGUGAAGCAGCAUUGCAGUCUAUCAAUCUAUUUCACCUGUACAUUGUGUACCAAAACAAUUGGGAGUUUCCUUUUUCCGCUUUGAUGGGGUAAUUUUGGUCCUUGGUAGAAGAAACAUUCAAGGAUGAGAGAAUAGAGUACCAUGUUAAACUGGUCAAUUGUAUCUACUUUAGAUCUUUAGACCUGUCCUUUGGGACUUGGUUCCAUAUAUGAUUGGCUCCACAUUUUGUGCUGGAAUAGUCUUGCAUGUUAGGAGAAAGUUGAUCAAUGGAUACAGAAUCCUUACUCUGAAGGUGAUUGGUGGGCUGGAUAUGGCUAUGAGAUUCCCACUUUGCAGAGAGUUGCUAUAAGAAUACAUAGCCAACCUUGUAGUUCCCACUGGUGCAGAUGGAACUGGAGCGCCUUUGAGAGCAUUCAUUCCAAGAAACGCAACAAAAUGGAGCUGGAUAAGUUAAAUGAUUUGGUUUUUGUGCAUUGUAACCUGUGGUUAGAAUCCAUAAGCCGAAGUAGGAAUGGGAAGUGUAAACCUAUUAUCUAUGAUGAAAUAGAUGUUAGUUCUGAAUGGCC